rnacentral:rRNA from 1 species
UACGUAGGUGGCGAGCGUUGUCCGGAUUUACUGGGCGUAAAGGGAGCGUAGGCGGACUUUUAAGUGAGAUGUGAAAUACCCGGGCUCAACUUGGGUGCUGCAUUUCAAACUGGAAGUCUAGAGUGCAGGAGAGGAGAAUGGAAUUCCUAGUGUAGCGGUGAAAUGCGUAGAGAUUAAGGAAGAACACCAGUGGCGAAGGCGAUUCUCUGGACUGUAACUGACGCUGAGGCUCGAAAGCGUGGGGAAGCAAACAGGGAUUAAGAUACC